AUUGAACGCUGGCGGCAGGCCUAACACAUGCAAGUCGAGCGAGCGGCGGACGGGUGAGUAAGGUCUGGGAAACCGCCGGAUGGAGGGGGAUAACUACUGGAAACGGUAGCUAAUACCGCAUACCAUCAGAUGUGCCCAGAUGGGAUUAGCUAGUGGUGGGGGUAAUGGCGUACCUAGGCGACGAACCCUAGCUGGUCUGCGAGGAUGAUCAGCCACACUGGAACUGCGACACGGUCCAGCCUCCUACGAGAGGCAGCAGUGGGGAAUAUUGCGCAAUGGGCGCAAGCCUGAUGCAGCCAUGCCGCGUGUGUGAGGAAGGCCUUCGGGUUUUAAAGCACUUUCAGCGGGGAGGCGUUACCCGCAGAAGAAGCACCGGCUAACUCCGUGCCAGCAGCCGCGGUAAUAC
rnacentral:rRNA from 1 species